AGAGUUUGAUCCUGGCUCAGAACGAACGCUGGCGGCGUGCCUAACACAUGCAAGUCGAACGGAGAUAAGGGGCUUGCUCCUUAUUUUAGUGGCGCACGGGUGAGUAACGCGUGGAUAAUCUACCUUGGAAUCUGGGAUACAUUUCGAAAGGGGUGCUAAUACCGGAUAAGACCACGAGCUCUUUGGAGUUUGCGGUAAAAGGGGGCCUCUGUAUAUGCUUCUGUUUCAAGAUGAGUCCGCGUACCAUUAGCUAGUUGGCAGGGUAACGGCCUACCAAGGCAACGAUGGUUAGCUGGUCUGAGAGGAUGAUCAGCCACACUGGAACUGAGACACGGUCCAGACUCCUACGGGAGGCAGCAGUGGGGAAUUUUGCGCAAUGGGGGAAACCCUGACGCAGCAACGCCGCGUGAGUGAUGAAGGCCUUCGGGUCGUAAAGCUCUGUCAGAGGGAAAGAAGUGUAUUUUGGUUAAUACCCGAGAUACUUGACGGUACCCUCAAAGGAAGCACCGGCUAACUCCGUG
rnacentral:rRNA from 1 species